ensembl:lncRNA
UGAACCUAAGCACAGGGUGGAGACAGCAGCAAGGCCCCCUCUGAGCGCUCGGACCAAGAGCACAUCAGCGAGUGAUCAAUGUGGGUUGAAGGCCAGAGAGCCUUCUGGACGCUUCUGCUCUAUGAUCCCUGCCAGAGGCUACAGUGUCUCCUGCCCCAAGACUGCCUUGCUGAUGAGUUUCAUAUGAAACAAAGGGAAGAUAGGGCAGCGCGAGCCGGAACGGGAAACAGCACAGCCAUGGAGACUCGAAGGCCCAGCAUUACAAACUAAGGAAGCAAACGCUUGUCUGCUCACAGGAAGCGGGUCUUCUUUGUGACCCAAUGCACAAAGUGAGACCUGGGGAAGUGAGAGAGACCAUUGCAGACAACUUCAGGAAGGAGAAUGCUCCCCACAGGUGCAGUUCUCGGGCUGCUCUCCUCUGGUUAACAACGUGCAGCCACAGGUGGAAAUCCCAGGUUGGAAAGCCGUGGCUGCCUUCCAGAGCUGGAGAAUGAGGGAAAACACAGACCU